GACGAACGCUGGCGGCGUGCCUAAUACAUGCAAGUUGAGCGAUGAAGAUUGGUGCUUGCCCCAAUUUGAAGAGCAGCGAACGGGUGAGUAACGCGUGGGGAAUCUGCCUUUGAGCGGGGGACAACAUUUGGAAACGAAUGCUAAUACCGCAUAACAACUUUAAACAUAAGUUUUAAGUUUGAAAGAUGCAAUUGCAUCACUCAAAGAUGAUCCCGCGUUGUAUUAGCUAGUUGGUGAGGUAAAGGCUCACCAAGGCGAUGAUACAUAGCCGACCUGAGAGGGUGAUCGGCCACAUUGGGACUGAGACACGGCCCAAACUCCUACGGGAGGCAGCAGUAGGGAAUCUUCGGCAAUGGACGAAAGUCUGACCGAGCAACGCCGCGUGAGGGAAGAAGGGUUUCGGAUCGUAAAACUCUGUUGGUAGAGAAGAACGUUGGUGAGAGUGGAAAGCUCAUCAAGUGACGGUAACUACCCAGAAAGGGACGGCUAACUACGUG
rnacentral:rRNA from 1 species